UGAAUACGAGACGCUACGGCGUCGAAGCAGUCUAUGUCAUACUUCCAAGAAAAGCUUGCACUGUCAUAAACAAAUAAUGCCUGUACCAUAACCGACACAGGUGGGUAGGUAGAGUAUACUAAGGGGCGCGAGAUAACUCUCUCUAAGGAACUCGGCAAAAUGACUCCGUAACUUCGGGAGAAGGAGUGCCUUAUUUAUAAGGUUGCAAUAACAAGAUCCAAGCAACUGUUUAUCAAAAACACAGGUCUCCGCUAAGUCGUAAGACGAUGUAUGGGGGCUGACGCCUGCCCAGUGCCAGAAGGUUAAAGAAGUUGGUUAGCAUUAGCGAAGCUGAUAACUGAAGCCCUGGUGAACGGCGGCCGUAACAAUAACGGUCCUAAGGUAGCGAAAUUCCUUGUCGGGUAAGUUCCGACCCGCACGAAAGGCGUAAUGAUUUGGAUACUGUCUCGGAGAGGGGCUCGGUGAAAUAGACUUGUCUGUGAAGAUGCGGACUACCUGCACCUGGACAGAAAGACCCUAUGAAGCUUUACUGUAACCUGAAAUUGAAAUUGGACUUUAUUUGCGCAGUAUAGGUGGGAGGCGUUGAGAAUAUUCUUGCGGGAAUAUUGGAGCCAUCAGUGGGAUACCACUCUUGUAAUGUUAGAUUUCUAACUUUGAAUCAUUAUCUGGUCAAAGAACAGUUUCAGGCGGGCAGUUUGACUGGGGCGGUCGCCUCCUAAAUGGUAACGGAGGCGCACAAAGGUUUCCUCUGAACGGGUAGAAAUCGUAUCUAGAGUGUAAAGGCAUAAGGAAGCUUGACUGUGAGACCUACAAGUCGAGCAGGGACGAAAGUCGGUCUUAGUGAUCUGACGGUGCUGAGUGGAAAGGCCGUCACUCAACGGAUAAAAGUUACUCUAGGAUAACAGGCUGAUCUCCCCCAAGAGUUCACAUCGACGGGGAGGUUUGGCACCUCGAUGUCGGCUCAUCGCAUCCUGGGGCGGUAGUACGUCCCAAGGGUUGGGCUGUUCGCCCAUGAAAGCGGUACGCGAGCUGGGUUCAGAACGUCGUGAGACAGUUCGGUCCAUAUCCGGUGUAGGCGUUAGAAUAUUGAGAGGAGCCUUCUUUAGUACGAGAGGACCGAGAAGGACAUACCUCUGGUGUACCAGUUAUCGUGCCAACGGUAAACGCUGGGUAGCUAUGUAUGGAGAGGAUAACCGCUGAAAGCAUCUAAGUGGGAAGCCCACCUCAAGAUGUGUAUUCUGGUGUAAGGUCACGGGAAGACGACCCGUAAAUAGGCACGAGGUGGAAGUGCAGAGAUGUAUGAAGCCGAAGUGUACUAAUAGACCGUCGGCUUGAC
rnacentral:rRNA from 1 species